CCUACGGGAGGCAGCAGUGGGGAAUAUUGCACAAUGGGGGAAACCCUGAUGCAGCGACGCCGCGUGAGUGAAGAAGUAUUUCGGUAUGUAAAGCCCUAUCAGCAGGGAAGAAAAUGACGGUACCUGAUUAAGAAGCCCCGGCUAACUACGUGCCAGCAGCCGCGGUAAUACGUAGGGGGCAAGCGUUAUCCGGAUUUACUGGGUGUAAAGGGGGCGUAGACGGCAGCACAAGUCUGGAGUGAAAUGCCGGGGCUUAACCCCGGAACUGCUUUGGAAACUGUGCAGCUAGAGUGCAGGAGGGGUAGGUGGAAUUCCUAGUGUAGCGGUGAAAUGCGUAGAUAUUAGGAGGAACACCAGUGGCGAAGGCGGCUUACUGGACUGUAACUGACGUUGAGGCUCGAAGGCGUGGGGAGCAAACAGGAUUAGAUACCCUAGUAGUC
rnacentral:rRNA from 1 species